AAUUGAGAGAGAAAGCUAGUGAGAGAGAGAGAGAGAGAGAGCAUGGGGGGGGGGGUGGAAGAGGGAGAAGCAGGUUCCCUGCUGAGCAAGGAGCCCCAGGUGGGUCUCCAUCCCAGGACCCCAAGAUCAUGACCUGAGCUGGAGGCAGAGGCUUCGCUAACUGAGCCACCCAGGUGCCUCUCGUUUCAUCUUUUAUAUUUAAGGCUUUAAGCAAGUAUUCAUCAAAGGAUGGACUACAGACAACAGUUCACCUAUGAACCAGUGAGUCAGAAUGUCUGGGAGUCUCCCUUAUACCAAACUCUCCAGGACUGGAUCUUCUCUGUUUCUGUCCUGGAGUCCUCAUGAGAUCAUUUGAGCCCAAUAGCAAGUUUGCUUUUCUUAUCUUUCUCCAUGAAGCUUCAGGGAGAGGGAAGUGGCUGCUCCUUUCAACCAAAUUAACCUGUAGAACAGGUGAUAUUGAGCAGGCUGAGGCUGCCCACCCUGCCAGGACUGGCGCCGGGAGGGCCGGACCAGCACCCAGGGCCUACCAUCUGAACUUUCCAGUGGAAGAUAAUGAGAAGGAAAGGGCAAAACUAGGUGACUAG
rnacentral:lncRNA from 1 species